rnacentral:misc_RNA from 1 species
AGCUGCCGGCACCUCUCCCAUCCAAGAUCAUAUUGUAUCUUCCUUAAGCUCAAAAUCAAGCUAUCAUCUGAUGAGUUCUCACCGAUUACAACGAACUCCUCAACCAACCCCGGAAAUAUCCCCGCCUCAGAUACAUGCUUGAUUUUGUGGAUACAUGCCUCUUGGACCGGUAAGUAUGCAGAAGAUUUAGCUGUAAUGUCCACAUAAGCGCCACCCAUGUCUGUCAUGAAGACUGUCCCUUUAACCUUAGCUCCGAUCUCGGAGUCGAAGUCG